AUACAUUCGCGUCGUCGCUGCGGUAUUUUCGAUAUCAUCAGCAACAGCUAUUGUCAUGACUUUGUUGCGCCUUCUUAAUCCUCAGUUGUAUUAUUUAGAUGCAUUAAACAACAGGGAUAUGGCCGGCUACUUUACUAAUGUACAAAUUGGACACAGUAAAGUAAUGGAUUACAGGACUAUACACUAUUUUGUCAGUGGUCUUAUGCUUGUAACAAGUACUAUUGGCUUUCUUAACAGCCUCAUAGUCAUAAAUCGCAGUGCUACGCGUAACACAGGUCGGA